CCCGUAGUGACUGCAGGUGCAUAAAUGAGCCUGGAUGAGAUCAGCUGAGCUCCGCUUAGGUAAGCAGAACUGUCCAACCGCCCCCGAGGUGCCUGAGAAAUAAUCAAUGUCUGUUGGUUGAUACCACCACAAUCAGGGGUGGUUCCAUCUGCAGCAACAUUGUGGUCAAUAUAGGUGAUGACAGGUACAGCAGAGAAGGAAAAGCUGAGAGAAGUAGAGCAGAAGUUCUUUGGGAAAAAGCCCCUGCCCUGAGCUCCUUGGGUCCUGCAGAGUUCAUCCUCUGGUUCCCACAGCAUUAGGAGGGGCAGCCCUAUCUAUCUCUUUGGCUACCACAGCCAGAAGGAGGAGGCAUGGGGGAAUGGGGUGGGAGCUGACCGUGUGAGUCCUGCAGUCGCCAGGCAACACCAAAGAGGCCAGGGAGGACGGAGCCUCGGGGCAGGAAGGGACUGGCUGGAGCUGGGGUCACCUUAGCGGUCUGCGCCCGCUGGGGAACAACUAAGUCCUACACUGCCCAUCACUUGAAGUGAACACAUUGGGACCAAGCUGUUAAUAGCAGGCCGAAGAACUCUGAAAGACCAACAGCCAGAACAUACUGCACUCUGGGUCCCCUUCUUGAAUAUUCUCUUCCCCAGUCUGCGCCCCACCCAACCCUGGGCCUGUUGUUCUCUCACACAGCUUCUCUUGUCUCCUCGGCCAUAUUUUUAUUCUUGUGUUUUUUUUUUUUUUUAAUUUUUUUUUUCAACGUUUAUUUAUUUUUGGGACAGAGAGAGACAGAGCAUGAACGGGGGAGGGUCAGAGAGAGAGGGAGACACAGAAUCGGAAACAGGCUCCAGGCUCUGAGCCAUCAGCCCAGAGCCUGACGCGGGGCUCGAACUCACGCACCGCAAGAUCGUGACCUGGCUUAAGUCGGACGCUUAACCGACUGCGCCACCCAGGCACCCCUAUUCUUGUGUUUUUUAAACAUUUUGUUUUAGGUUUACUUAUUUAUUUUGAGAGAGAGAGAGCAGGGGAGGGGUAUAGAGAGAAGAGGAGAGAGAGAAUCCCAAGCGGGCUCUGCGCUGGCAGCAGAGAGCCUGACGUGGGGCUUAAACCCACAAACAGUGAGAUCAUGGCCUGAGCCAAAAANNNNNNNNNNNNNNNNNNNNNNNNNNNNNNNNNNNNNNNNNNNNNNNNNNNNNNNNNNNNNCACGCACCGCAAGAUCGUGACCUGGCUUAAGUCGGACGCUUAACCGACUGCGCCACCCAGGCACCCCUAUUCUUGUGUUUUUUAAACAUUUUGUUUUAGGUUUACUUAUUUAUUUUGAGAGAGAGAGAGCAGGGGAGGGGUAUAGAGAGAAGAGGAGAGAGAGAAUCCCAAGCGGGCUCUGCGCUGGCAGCAGAGAGCCUGACGUGGGGCUUAAACCCACAAACAGUGAGAUCAUGGCCUGAGCCAAAAACUGAGAGUUGGACAUUCAACCAUUUGGGCCACCCAGGCACCCCUGUUUUCGUAUUUUUAAAAAUUGUGGUAAAGUAGGGGUGCCCGGGUGGCUCAGUCGGUUAGGUGUGCAACUUCGGCUCAGGUCAUGGUCUCAUGGUUUAUGAGUUCAAGCCCUGCUUGGGCUCUGUGCUGACAGCCCGGAGCCUGCUUCAUAUUCUGUGUCUCCCUCUCUCUCUCUCAAAAUAAUAAUAAUAAUAAUAAUAAUUAACAAAUUAAUUAAUUAAUUAAAACUGUGGUAAAAUACAUCUAACUUAAAAUUUACAAUUUUAACCAUUUUCAGUGUAUAUUUCAGUGGCAUUAAAUAUGUUCACAAUGUUGUACAACCAUCACCACAAUUUCUGGAACUUUUUCAUCACCCCAGAUGGAAAUUCAGGACCCGUUAAACAGUAACUCCCUAUUCCUCUGUCACCCGGCCACUGCUAACCUCUAUUCUACUUUCUGUGUCUAUGAAUUUGCCCAUGCUAGGUACCUCAUAUAAAUAGAAUCAUAUAUUGGUUCUUUUGUCCUCUCAGCCCUUUAUUCUCAAAACCAAAAGUUUUGUGUUUAGAUAUCUGAAAAGCAGCCCACUAGGGAUAAGGACUUUCUUUCUUUUUUUUUAAGUUUUAAUUUAUGUAUUCAUUUAAGUAAUCUCUACACCCAACGUGGGGCUCGAACUCAGCCCCAAGAUCAAGAGUUGCACACUCUUCCAACUGAGCCAGCCAGGCACCCCAUCCAAACCAAAAGUUCUGUUUUUAGACAUCUGAAAAGCAGCUCACCAGGGAUAUGCACUUUCUUCAAUACCCAUCCCCCCUCUUUUGACCCCCUGCAAGAGUUGGACUGCAUGACCGUGACCUUGGGGUAUAAGGUGUAUGGGGUAUGGGUGUCCCUGUCCUCAUCAAAUCUCCUCAAAAAACAAAUCUCUCCUCCUGACCAAACUCCUGAGGAGGGGCCAUGAAGACACCCCAGCCUGCAUUUUCCUUUCUGCUUUGUGAGUCCAGCCCUUCAUUCUCCCUGCACACUCUGAGCUAACAGUUUGCUCUCCUUCCAGUCGGAUGGGGAAGCCAUGGUAUGCUGAGGGAGCUGUGGGCCUCAGGUUUGUCUCACCAACCCCCAGAGGACAAGGUCCACGCUCCUGGAGUGGCCCCAAGGUGCCCCACAAAAUUUUAGGUCAAAAGCUUAACAAAUAAGUACUGCUUUAAUAGCAGAGGCCCUGGCUUGAGGUAAGUUGGAAGCAGACCGGUCCUAUGGGGCCAGAGCAAUCUGGGGGGGGCCUCAAGUCUGCAGGCUCCCUGUUUGCACAAGUUGAUGAGGUGAAGUAAGUAGAUGAGGAAAGAAAUGCAGAAUACUGCUAAGUUUCCACCCACUGCUGCCCCUUCCCCCACCGUACACAUGCUCACUCACGUACACACACGUGCGCUUGUUCACACGCACUCUUUCACACGCUGACAGACUCUCUCCCCACCCCCACCUCACACACACCUGCCUCAGGGACUCAUGUUUUCCAAGGCUGAGAUGAGAAGGCUGGACAGAAGUCAAAGGAGCUAUUUUCCAGAAGACCCUGGGGCCCAUGAGCAGUGGGAUCAAAGGUGAAACUGAGAGGGAGAGCAGGGUCUUUUUCUCUCCCUUAUCUUUGAGAAUUUAGCACUGCUCUGGCCCUUUGGCAAGCUGGGGACAGCACCUGGGGGCCAGUGGGCUGGCAGUGGUGGCGCCCGAGGUGGGGAAGCUGCCUUGAGAGACUGUGGGUACCCAGGGGGGGCAGGGGAAGUGGGUAAGGAGAAGGGGAAGUGGCAGGGAAGCAGAAGGACUGUCAGCUUGUUAUCAUGUGUAUGAUUCCCCCCCAGGAGCUCUCAGGGGGUCUUUGAUCAACUUUGCCCACAGUAGGGGCGCCAAACAGAAAAUUCUACCUCGUCCUAAGUGUAGAAUUUAUUUUUAGCUCACAGGAUAAAAACCAGCAAAGCUGAUUCUUCAUUGUCAAGAAUUCCCUACCUCCCUUUCCUCCGUGGUCUUCCCCAGUUCCCUUGGUCAGGCAAGUCCACUGCCGCCGGUGUUGAGAUCUGUGGAGUCUGGGCAGGAAGUAAGGAACCCUGCCGGACCCCCAUCCUCCUGUCUUUAAGAUGGACAAUCAUCCCUUCAUAGGUUUGUUGAAAUAAUUAGAUAGGAAAAAGUCAUAUAUAUAUAUAUAUAUAUAUAUAUAUAUGAAUAUACAUAUGUAUGUGUAUAUAUGUAUAUAUUCACCAUACGUCUAUGUACAUAGGUCUGUGUAUGCAUACCAUAUAUAUGUACUAUGCAUAGUCCCCAGCACAUGGUAAGCAGUAAAUAUCACUAUUGCUAUCUUUAUCCUCAUCUAUGAUGGCUUUCCACAGCAGUUGGCUUUAGGUGGCAGGAGAUUUGGAAUAAAUGGAAUGUGACCAGGAAAUAAAGUGACAUUUAAGUCUAUUAGCACUUACAUCAUCCAAGUGAACAUGGAGUCACCCCGGAAGUCCUCAUUCCUUCAUUCAGGAUGUCACAGAACAGGAUGCAUUACAUUCUCUAGACGUCCGUGACAUCUGUACUUAAGAGAACGGUAGUUUCUCAGGCUGGUUCACUUUCCUGAUCUCCACGGCCGUUACAAAUACUUUCGUUCUCUUCAAACCCCUUUCCCCUUACUUGCCCUUCUGUCUCCCAUUUAGGUGGGCCUUGCCUCUCACCGAAAGGGAAAAUAGAAGCUGUCAGGUGGGAUCUUCACCUUCCCAUGUCAUCCAUGCAAACCUGCUCGCCCGGGCACUUCACUUCCCUUCUUUUUACCUCCCCUCCCACUUAGGGUUAAUCCCUCUUCUCUGCUCCUUCUGAUUCUAGCUCCUCCUGCCAUCUCAGGAACCUGACCACAUCUUUCUUUUGGUAAUUUGACCCCUGUCUCUCACCUGGCUGUAGACACCCUCAAGUCUUUUUUUAGCAACAAGAAAACAGAAAUAAAAAACAACGAACUUGACCUCUUUCUUCAUCCCCAUUGUCAGGAGCUGGCUCCCCCAGUACUGCCAACACUCCCACUGAGGAGACAAAGCGACCGCUGCUUGGUGUGGUGGGCAGGAGGGAAGUGCAGUGAAGCUUGGUUUUCAGAGGAGGGAAGACAAGCCCAGAAUGCAUCAGGACUCGGAAGCUGGGUUUGAGGUUAGUCUUUCAAGGUGGGGGAUCUAGGACUUGGGUAACGAGCUUGAUGCCACAGCCCAGGAUUGGUGGGGGCGGCAACGGGAGGGAUUCAAAGCAUCUCCAGGCACAGACUGUAUGUGCUUCUCAUUGAAGAGUUGAUGGAUAUCUGGGGGAAGUUACUGUAGUGAGCAAUCACCAUGUUUGCUUGGGAGGAUGGUCGCAAAGAGUGGAGGAAUGCCAGCGAAGACGGGACUAGCGACCUCACGCCAACUGGGCAGUAAGGCGUGGUUUCGCUUCCCUGCGUCCAGGCUGAGUGUGGGGUGGAAGGUUUUGGUUCAGCUUUGAGCUUCAGCCCUAGCUCCUUCCUCACAUUCACAACUAAACUCGUCAAAACAAUUUCUCUGCUUGCUGACGCCAAUUUCUCGCCUCCUCCUCACUCGGAGCCUGAUGUGGGGCUCGAACUCACGGACCAUGAGAUCAUGACCUGAGCUGAAGUCGGAGGCUCAGUCGACUGAGCCACCCAGGUGCCCCCCCUCAGGUACCUUCUAAAACAGCACUGGUCCUCAGCCGCGAUCCUGUCUUUCAAUCUGGUUGAUACUUUGCAGGCCUCAUCACACAGGGCCUCUAGGGCCUGGGUCUCCUGCUCCUCGGUGCCCUACGACCCAACAUGUCCCAGGGGUCCUGCUAUCUCUCUCACACCACUCUUUCUCUGCUUUGUAGACACAUCCCUGUCUGUCCAGGUGUUAAACAUUAUCGUCCCACCAGGCCUGGUCCUGGGGCUGCCCUCCUCUCUCUAUGCUUGCCCCCCUGGCAAAGCCAUGUGUUCACGCACUCCAGGCACAUUUGUAAACGUAUGUCUCCAGCUUGACCUGUCUUUGGAGCUCUGGACCCACAUACACAACAGUCUAGAUGACAUCUCCUCUGAAUGUCUCCAAGCCUUUACACUCCAAGAUCUCUGUGGAAGCUAACACUGUGACAAAACAAAACAAAACAAAACAAUAACAAAACAAAAACAAAUUUCAGGCGUUUGACAUAGUAAAAGCUUACUCCUCUCUGAUAUGCCGGUCCAGAGCAGGAGUUUCUGGUCUGCUGGUCAUCUCUCCCACAUGGUGACUCAAAGGUCCAGGUUCUGUGCCACCUGCUGUAUCUUCAGAGUCCUCUGCAUUUAUCCAGUGGGCAGUACAGGAGAGGAACGAAGUACAUUCCCUCUACCCUCCUAGAUUUAAUAGCCAGGUCUAUGAAAUAAACUGACGACAGGCAGAUUAAUAGGAGAAAAGUAUACAAAUGCAUUCAUUUUUACUAUUACACUACUGGGGAUAUCACAGGAUAAAACUAAGUGAAUACCGCCAAAAUGGUGAGAAUUGAAAGCUUAAAUACUGUCUUAUAGGGGAAGGGGAGGGGAGAUAAAGACAACACAGGAAAGAGGAAAUUAUUUUUAGGAAGGAUGAGAGACCAGAUGGGAGGUAUGACAGGGUACGAGAAAGUCUGUCUGGCUGUGGUGCUGGCUUCCAGUCCUCUCCUGUGAGAAGAGUCAAUCUUCUUGGGUUGAUGAAACUCCCCAGGCGGGGAAUCUAUGACAAUGGAGUUUGUUUUGGAGGAUCUGACUUUAGGCAGGUAAGGGGACUGCAGAGAAAGCAAACUGCAUUUGCUGGUUUUCAAGUGCCUUCAGUUCAAAAUAACUAAUUUGCCAAAGUGGCACAUUUUGGGUUGGCACGUCCUGAACUCCUUCAACAGGGAAAAAGGGAGUGUCAAAGCCACAUCUGAGUUUUAAAAGCUUUGGCCUGGGAAAUGGUAUCACUUCUACUCAUGUUCUGUUGACCAAAAGAACCCCCCCAAAACAAAAAACAAAAAACAAAACAAAUCAAACAAAAAGUCACGUGGUAUUAUGGGUUAGAUUGUUGCCUACCAUCACCCCAAAAAAGAUAUGUUCAAGUCCUAACCACAGGUACCUGUGGAUGUGACCUUAUUUGGAAAUAGAAUCCUUUGCAGAUGUAAUCAGGUUAAGAUGAGGUCAUAUUGGCCAAUCACAUGACGGGUGUCCUUACAAGAUGUUAGAAAGUUGAGCAUGCAGAUAUACCUAGAGGGAAGGUGACCAGGCGAAGACGCUGAGACACAAGGGAGAAUGCUAUGUGAAGACAGAGGCAGGGAUUGAAGUGAUCCGUUUAUAACCUAAGGGACACCAGGAAUUGCCAGCAACCAUCAGAAGCUAUGGAACAGAUAGAUUCUCUUUCAGACCCUCUGGAAAGAACUGACCCAGCCGCCACCUCCAUUUUAGACUUCCAGCCUCCAGAACUAUGAGAGAAUAAGGGUAUAUUAAGUCACUCGGUUUGUGGCACUUUGUUACUGCAACCACAGAAAACCAGUACACCUGGCCACACCCGGAUACAAGAGGAAACGUAGUCCCACAUUUUGGUGAGAACUCCAUCCUACUGAAGGGCUUCUGUCACAAUAUGGAAGCCUGAACUCACCCUCUUCCCUCCCAAUCCUUUAUACCCUAGUAUGGGCACUGCCCUCGUUGUAGUUGUCAAGGCUAGAAACUUGGGAUCAGCCGUGACCUCUCCUUCUUCCUCCCCUCCCAUAUCCAAUACUAAGUCCUAAAUAUCUCUAGAGUGUAUCAUUUCUCUCAGUCUCCAUCACAACCCACUCCCCACACUGACACCCCAUGUCUUGAUCACUGCAGAAGUCUCCUGACUGGUCUGCCUUUGCCCGUGCUAGUUCCUCGUUGAGCUUCCAGACUCCUGCCACGAUUCAGUUUCUAAAUCUCAAAUCUGCUCAUCUUAUCAUCCUAUUUAAAUAUGUUAAAGAUGUUCCAUUGUCUAGAGGAUAAAGGUAAAUUCCUUGUGGUCAACAGGGGCCUUCAUAGUCUGACUGAUGGUUCAUUUGAUGUGUCAACUUGACAGAGCCAUAGGUGCCCAGACAUUUGGCCAGACAUUAUUCUAGGUGUGUCUGUGAGGGUGUUUCUGGAUGAGAUCAACAUUUGAAUGGGUAACUAAGGCUAGUUGCCCUUUCUGAUGUUGCUGGGUCUCAUCCAAUCAACCUGAAGACCUGAAUAGAACAAAAAGACUAAGAGGGAAAUCCUCCUGCCUAAUUGUCUGAGCUGGGACCCUGGUCUUUUCUGCCUUCAGACUCAAAUGGAAAAACCCACUCUUCUUGGGUCUUGAGACUGUUGGCUUUUAGAUUAGAGUUUAUACCUUUGGUUCUCCUGGCUUUCAGUAUUUUGGGCUUAGGCUGGAAAUACACCAUCGCUGUCUUGGGUCUCCAGCUUGCUGACUACAGAUCUGAGGACUUUUCAGCCUCCAGUCAUGUAAGUCUAUCUAUCUAUCUAUCUAUCUAUCUAUCUAUCUAUCAAUCAUCUAUUAUCUAUUAUCUAUUUUCUCUCUCUCUCUCUCUCUCCAUCCAUCCAUCCUUCCAUCCUUCCAUCCUUCCAUCCUUCCAUCCUUUCUUCCUUCCAUCCUUCUUCUUGGUUCUUGGUUCUGCUACUCCGGAGAACCCUGACUAAUAUAUUGACUCUAUCUAUCUCUCUACACACCACACUCCCACCUGAUGUUAGGGCUUUGCAUAUGCUCUCCCCCUAGAAAAUCUGUUCCUUCUCAUCUUGCGCAAUUUACUGCUACUCAUUUUUCCUAUCUCAGGUCAAGCAUCACUUCUUCCCUAAUUUCCUUGACCAGGUCCACUCUCUCAACUAGAUAUUCAUUAACACACCAUGAAUGCCUCCACUGUAGGACUUGUCAAAGUUAUGUGGCCAUUUCACUAUGUGUCUUCCCUAUAGCCUGUGAGCCUCAGGAAGAUAGUUACCAUGUUGGUAGUAACUACUACUCACUACCAUGCCCCAGCACCUAGCUCAGUGCCCAGCCAAAAGAAUGUGUGGAUUGAGUUUUGCCACCAUUUGCAGGGGAUAUCUACUUGGAAUACACGCCAGGAAUGAUCAGGGCUGUGAUAGACAGUUAUCCUUGUCCUAGGUUGGGGAAGAGGGAAGAGACAAAGAAUAGGUGGCUUACAUCCAGGGGUUGUUCUAUGGGGACCUGUCAUCACCACAGCAAGGGCACCAGUCAGAAUGGAGGCAGAAGGGUGGCUGGAGGCAAGUCAGGACAGAUGCCACUCAGUUGCUCCAAGGACACUGACAUCACUCAAAGCAUCACUGGAACAGGCCAUCUGAAAUUACCUAUUUUCUCUCUUUUUAAAAAAAAAUUUUUUUAACGUUUAUUUAUUUUUGAGACAGAGACAGAGCAUGAACGGGGGAGGGACAGAGAGAGGGAGACACAGAAUCUGAAACAGGCUCCAGGCUCUGAGCUAUCAGCCCAGAACCCGAUGCGGGGCUCGAACUCAUAGACCACAAGAUCAUGACCUGAGCCUAAGUCGGACGCCUAACUGAGUCACCCAGGCAUGCCCUCCCCCCCAUUUUCUCUCUUUAAGGCUUGCUAUGGACUGGAUUGUUGUGUCCCCUCAAAAUUCAUAUAUUGAAACCCUAAUCCCUAAUGCAAUGGUAUUUGAAGAUGGAUCCUUUGAGGGUAAUUUUGUCAUGAGGGUGGAGCCCCCAUGAGGGGAUUAAUGCCCUUAUAAGAAGAAACACAAGGAGCACCUGGGUGACUCAGUAGGCUAAGCAUCCAACUCUUGAUUUCGGCUCAGAUUGUGAUCUCAUGGUUUUGAGAUCAAGCCCUGUGUCGGGCUCUGUGCUGGGCAUAGAGCCUACUUAUGAUUCUCUCUUCUGAUCCCACCUCUUUCUCUCUCUCUCUCUCAAAAAUAAUGAGAAGAAGAAGAAAAAGAAAUACAAGAGAGUUUGCCCUUCUCUUUGCUCUCUGCCACAUGAGAAUACAGUGAGAAGAUGGCUUUCUGCAAACCAGAAAAGAUUGCCCUCACCAGUCACCAGAUAUGCUGGUGCCUUGCUCUUGGACUUCCCAG
rnacentral:lncRNA from 1 species